AGAUAAUUUUCAAUGUUUUUGUUGAACAUGAUUAAAGCUUGUGUUAUCAACCUAGCCGGGUGAGAAUGUGUGAACUUUCCAUUGUUUACAUAAAUUUUUGAGAGCCAGCAAUGUUGUGUGCUCAUUUGAUUUUAACUUAAUCUUGCUGUCACUAAUGUGUUUGAUAUUGUGGAUAUGAUCAAGGCCCUGUUUCUUUUUGAGUGAUAACUACUUGACCAAACUUAACCUACCUUGUGAGAUAGUGAUCUUUUGUGUCCCCUGUUGAGCCUUAAAAUUUUUAAAAUUGUUCGUUUUAUAAACCCUGAAACCAAAAGAAUGGAAAAACAACUACUCUACCCUUGUCUUAGGAUAGGAGAGCAAUUGUAUUUCAAUUAGGGUCAUGUUAAAGAUUCAAGUUGGGGAGAAGUAGGUUACAAAUGUCAUAAAAAUAAUUUGGAAAAGUAGUGGAUUGGGUGAUUGAAAAGAGAAAAAUGUUGAAAAUAAA
rnacentral:lncRNA from 1 species